UAGCCCUUACACAUGCAAGUCGAACGGGAUCUUCGGAUCUAGUGGCGGACGGGUGAGUAACGCGUGGGAACGUGCCCUUUGCUUCGGAAUAGCCCCGGGAAAGUGGGAGUAAUACCGGAUGACCCCUACGGGGGAAAGAUUUAUCGGCGAAGGAUCGGCCCGCGUUGGAUUAGGUAGUUGGUGGGGUAAUGGCCUACCAAGCCGACGAUCCAUAGAUGGUUUGAGAGGAUGAUCAUCCACACUGGGACUGAGACACGUGCCCAGACUCGUACGGGAGGCAGCAGUGGGGAAUCUUAAGGGAUGGGGGAAACCCUGAUCUAUCCAUGCCGCGUAUGAAAGGGAGGCCUUAGGGUUGUAAAGCUCUUCAGCUGGGAAGAUAAUGGC
rnacentral:rRNA from 1 species